GCUGGGCACGGUGGCGCGUGCCUAUAAUCCCAGCUACUCAGGAGGCUGAGGCAGGAGAAUUGCCUGAACCCAGGAGGCGGAGGUUGUGGUGAGCCGAGAUCACGCCAUUGAACUCCAGCCUGGGUGAAAAGAGCGAAACUCAGUCUCAAAAAAAAAAAACAAAACAAAAACUCCCGUGCUGGUCAGUAGUGGGAUCGCCCCUGUGAAUAGCCACUGCACUCCAGCCUGGGCAACAUAGCGAGACCCCGUCUCUU
ensembl:misc_RNA Metazoa_SRP Metazoan signal recognition particle RNA